UCACUGACAGUUAAAUAUUAACUAAACCCCCCCCCCAAAAAAAAACAAUUUUCUAUCUGUUGAAAACUUGAUUAAUCAACUAAUUAAUUUUCUGUUAGUGAGGCUACCCGAUUAUUGAACUAGCUUAUUGUUUCAGCAAUAACUAAAUUAUUACAUUUAACUUGAGCACUCAGCUUAUACUACUUUGUUUGAGUUAAUAUAAGUUUGCGCAAGAAUUCACCUGUGCAACACUCAUUACACACUUAUUUAUUCUGGCAUUAAUACUGCAUGUGUUUGUAUUUUUUAAGCAGUAUUGUCUACCCUGUUACAUAUUUUAAUAUAAAUAUAUUUGAUUUAUUUUUUUCCAUAUUUAUUGUUGUGUAUUGUAGUGUAAUGCACAUACUUUUACAUAUCUAUUUCGUAUUUCUAUUCUUAUAAUUUCUCUAUUUUUAUAUAUUUAAAUUUGAGUACGGGAGCAAUCUUUGCUGCAAGUUAACCAGAAUUUCCCCUGGGGAUACAGCCAUAAUUUACUCUUAAAAUUGCUGUUUUUCAUAAAAUAAAACUAUUAAUGUGUGUGUUUCUGCUCAUUGUGGUUAUACUUGUGUACCUUUAGCGGCAGUAAACGCACCACAAAGAUGAUUGAUCGCUGUCAGGAGAAAAGAAGAAGAAGCGUUUCCGGGGCGGACUUUCAUUUUGAUUGACAGGCAUCCCGACCAAUCCUCACACUCUUCCGUUGCCUCGUAGUAACAGAGCGAAAAUGGCGUAGAGCGGAGGGUGUGCGGCGGAGACGGGGACGAGGGGACCUUCUCCUCUCUCCGGGGUGUACGCAGGGAAAAAACAGGGCCCGGUGGUUUUUCGGUUUCUCCUUCUCUAAAUGUGUCUUCACCCGGCGCGGGCCCUUUCUCCACAGAAUAAACCCGGCAUACGUCCAGUGUUGGAGAGCUGAAUGUGUCACCGUAGAAGAAGAACCCCCCCGGCUUUUGUUUACCAUUGUGAGCUGCAGCAGCUGGAAGCCCGGUGGAAAUACCUCUGCAGCAUCUCGGAGCAAGGCUCACACCAAGGAUGGGUUUUCCUGUCAAUGCAGUUGUUGAACCAGCUGAAGCCCAGCCUGGAGAAACAUCUCUCUUCAAAUCAAUGACGGAUCACUUUCUCGUCCACCAUGACUUGGAGGUAAAGGAUGAGGAGUCAUUGUGAAGAUGACCUCUUUUGGACUUUUGGUACACGGGUGUCCCCGUCCUGCUGUCAAGGGGACUUUGGCCCUCUCUCCUCCACACCACCCUCCCUGUCCUGGCCUGUUUCUGCCGCAUGAUCAUCAGUCAGCACAUCAGCCCUGAUUGUGGGCUAGUCUGACUUCUAUCAUGCAGACUGACUACUUCUACAUGAAGCCUGCUUUUCAGCUGAAAGGCAGUUUCAUUUCUCAGUGUAAUGGCCUAAAAGUCUUCAUAAUUUGGGCAUUUUCUGUCAGAUUUGUGUUAGACUCUUAUCAGGCUGCAUGUAAACGUAGUCACUGAUGCUUCUUGAAUAAGUAAAGAAAAAAAGAAAGAAAUCUCCACCGGCUCUGUAAUUGGAUCCAAGCAGUUUGAUAAUGAACAAACAGCUCCCGUUUGCUGGGAAGAAAUUAAAGACACAAGAUACUGUAGCAAUGAUCAAGGCCUGUGAAUAAAUUAGACUCGUAGGGUGUUUUUUUGUUUUUGUUUUUUGCACUACCUCAUCUCCAUAACAAGUCCAACAGGAGUGAAUGGGAGCGUGAUCAGUACAAGAAACGUAACGGUUGUCAAGCACCACAGCAGUUUUAUAUGUUGUUCUUGGAUGAAUCAAGUUUCAGAGGGUUAAUAAUAAGUGAGGUUGUUGAAGGCAGAGCAGCCCAGAAGCACAUGAUGCCAUUUACGUUCACUUCAACCAUUUUGAGGUAAAACUCAAACUGUGGUCCCCUAUGCAUCUGUUCUAAAGGAAGGUCACAAGAUAGUGUUUUUACUCCAUGCUGUGAUUUUUUGCAUUUUGGUGCUUUCCUUUGUCAAGUCUGCAGGUUUAUUCACAAAUGGAAGUUAGAGAAAAUAUAAUUAAUUUUUUUAGUAUGGAGGUUUAGUCCAAUUUUCUUUUAUUUUCGUCAUUUUGUCUCUCUUCCCCUUCUUAACAUGCUUAUAUUUUGUCUUCCUCUGUAGACAUGUUCUUGUUUUGUCCUCUUCCCCCCUUAACAUGAGUUCUCAUAUAAGAGACAUAAUAAUAGUCAUAGUAAAAACAUAAUAAUAACAGGACAGUCUAUAGACAUUAGGCCUCUUGCAAGAACAUUAUAAUUUGUAUGGCUUUUUGUAAACUUAAAAUCACUUCAAAGUAAUGAAAUAUAUAAUCAAUUAGUGGAAAACUGCAUGCGACUACUAAAACAGGUGUGUACCACUUGUAAAUUGUUUUUUGUUUUUUUGCCAAAGAGAAAAUUCAACAUAAGAGAAAAUUAGUGAAUGUGGCAACUUCCUCUACACUCAUACAAGCCACUUAAGAAUAAAUCCGUCCGUGCCCGCGGUUCUUGCCUGAGGCCCAUUUAUUUUUUUUUAUGCCAUGAACCGUGAGUCAAAAUAAUCCAAAAAAAUAAGUGAAUCUGGCUUAUCAAACCUAUCCUGCCUCAUCUCUACCUGCUGUUUCUAUGUGUCCAGUAAGCAGAGAGAUGCCAGUGCUGAAAUAGCAGCUCCUUUGAUCCAAGCUCAAAUUGGAUUUGUCCUUACCUGAAGGAAACCCUGGUCUCAUUUCUUCACCUUUUUUUUCUUUCUUUGGGGUUUAUUUUUAUAUGAAAAAAAAGAAAAUCAAAUUUACCGGGAUUUGUGCAAUAUUUGAUCUUAACUGUCAUGUUGUUGACCAAACUGUAUAUUGUAUAAACAAGUGACAAGUUGUUUGAAAGCAACAAAAUCACCAAUGUCUUCCAUUAAGAUAUGUAUAGACUCAUGUGCAUUAGCUUAUUUAGAGGGACUGUGGUGCCAACAUUAUAGUAGCCAUGCAUGACCAGUAGUGAUGCUUGCUUCAUGAAGAAUAGUGAAAUCAAUUUCUAGACUAAGCUGGAGCUCAAAACUGUGGAAACCAUUUAAGCAAAAUUAAAGGGUGGGUAGAUCGUCGUACUACGCAUUUUAAAACACCACAUUUAGAUACAGCUUUCCCCUUAAAUCUUAGACUAAUGCAAGAUCUCCUUUUCGUUCCAUGGAUGUAGAUUAAGUUGUGUAAUUAAAGUAUAAUCAGGGUAAGCAGUUAAUAAGUAUCGAUUAAAGCCGCUUUAUAUAGGCGUAUAUGCUAAAUAUAAGUGCUUUCUACCAGAACUGCUGUUCUUUUUUAGGAUUCUGAAGCUGAAUCGAUAUCCUAAAUUGUACUCACGCACUCUCAAUCAUCAUAAUAAUUAGCUAAUUAUGCGACAGUCAAAAGUCUCAGACGUGACAAUGGUAGAAAAUGUUCAAUUAAGAGUAGCGCUUUAAUCUUAGAUCUGGAUAUAAUUGGUAGGGAUCCGACGUAGUGUUUUAGUCCUAGAAUUAAGAUCUCAUCAUGACAUUGUAUUGUACAUAAUACCUCAUAGUUUUGGGAUUCAGAGCGAGAUAUUUUAAUCCAUAAAAUUGUAUUUGAUUAUAGUUUUAGAAGCAAUAACCUACAAUAAUGCAUGAGUUUAGUGCCAGGGUGUAAGUGUUAAAAGGAGUCUGUAAUGUCCCCCCUCUCCCUUCACUCUUUUUACGCCUAUUGUAGCAAACUAUUAGUCACUUUUCUUUGGGAGUCGUAUAAUAUUUGGCUUUAGAAUACAGUAUCACUUAUGAAGGUUUGGGAUACUUCCUGCAGAACAAGGUAUAUAUACGGACAGCUGUAGCAUCAUGACAAAAUAAACUUCUAUAUUUUUCUCUGCCCUGUAUUCUUUCAAAACCAAAACAAUAAUCUUAACCAAUCGGUACAUGAGAGAAGCUUUAAAUUCCAAAUCCUGUAGCAUUUUUACGUCACUAAAACCCAGCCCUUCUUUUAAGAAAUAUAGACUUUCAGUAACUCUGUGGCUGCAAAGGACUUACUGAAUGAACUUGACACUUGUUUGAAAAGCACUUUCUCUCUAUGUACUGACUUGCACUGUCAUCAUCACCAUCCUGUCUUGAAUACUGUGUUCUAAAAACCCUGUAAUGCUCUUUGUGGGGAUUUAUAAUCACAAUUUAUAAACAAGUAGGCGUCUAGCAACAUGAAUAUAUGGGUUUUAAAAAUAUGCAUGACUUAGCGGAGUAACGAAUGAUUUGUAUUGCAUGCAAUAAUCCAACUUUGUAAUGUGAAUGAGUGUAAUUAGGCUAUUGAAAUGUUCUUAUCAGAUGUUCUGUGACAAGGUGACAACCUGGGGACGGUUGUUUGACACAACAGCAAGCAUGUUGAAGUAGCUUUUAUCACCUCUUGUGGUUUUUACAGACUAAAGUGCACCAAAAAAGAAGCAACAGAGAGUGUUUUUAAGUGUUUCUGUUCUCACUCUCUGUUGUGUCAAACAUGACCAUGGCAGUACAGCCACAGUGCAGCUGAAAAACACUGAUCAGCCUUUGUUCCCAUGAAAAAACUAAACAAAAGCUUAGGUAAAAUGAUUUAUGACAUUACUUUGUUGAUCAACUUUUCCACUGAAGAGGUGGACUGUGUAGAAACUAUGCACUCCAGAGGGAGGAAAUGGGCAUGCUUAUUAUGUGUGAGCCUCUUGUCUGGUUUUGUAUUAACUAAAAAAAAGAGAGAGAAAAUAAUCUGUUUCAGAAAUUCAGCAAUAAAAUGCAGCAUGGUGCCAAUUGGA